AAAUUUUUACCCGUUAAGAUAUUAGCAUUUGAUUUUUUAAUUAACUUUUUGUAUGUAUUCAUCCUAUAAAGUUUUUUUUUUCUUCUUUAAUAUAGUAUAAUAGCUUGAUCUUGAUGAGCAUUUCAAUUUUAAUUCUCACUGCUUUAUAUGCUUAAAAAGUUGAAAACUAAAGAAGACAGAUAAGAACCCAGAAAGCAGAGAGAUUAAAAACGUAAAAAUGUAUUCGUUGUUUUGGCAAAAAAAAAAAA
rnacentral:lncRNA from 1 species